UCCUGACUGACCGAUAGUGAACCAGUACCGUGAGGGAAAGGCGAAAAGAACCCCGGCGAGGGGAGUGAAAAAGAACCUGAAACCGUGUACGUACAAGCAGUGGGAGCACGCUUAGGCGUGUGACUGCGUACCUUUUGUAUAAUGGGUCAGCGACUUAUAUUCUGUAGCAAGGUUAACCGAAUAGGGGAGCCGAAGGGAAACCGAGUCUUAACUGGGCGUUAAGUUGCAGGGUAUAGACCCGAAACCCGGUGAUCUAGCCAUGGGCAGGUUGAAGGUUGGGUAACACUAACUGGAGGACCGAACCGACUAAUGUUGAAAAAUUAGCGGAUGACUUGUGGCUGGGGGUGAAAGGCCAAUCAAACCGGGAGAUAGCUGGUUCUCCCCGAAAGCUAUUUAGGUAGCGCCUCGUGAAUUCAUCUCCGGGGGUAGAGCACUGUUUCGGCAAGGGGGUCAUCCCGACUUACCAACCCGAUGCAAACUGCGAAUACCGGAGAAUGUUAUCACGGGAGACACACGGCGGGUGCUAACGUCCGUCGUGAAGAGGGAAACAACCCAGACCGCCAGCUAAGGUCCCAAAGUCAUGGUUAAGUGGGAAACGAUGUGGGAAGGCCCAGACAGCCAGGAUGUUGGCUUAGAAGCAGCCAUCAUUUAAAGAAAGCGUAAUAGCUCACUGGUCGAGUCGGCCUGCGCGGAAGAUGUAACGGGGCUAAACCAUGCACCGAAGCUGCGGCAGCGAUGCUUAUGCGUUGUUGGGUAGGGGAGCGUUCUGUAAGCCUGCGAAGGUGUGCUGUGAGGCAUGCUGGAGGUAUCAGAAGUGCGAAUGCUGACAUAAGUAACGAUAAAGCGGGUGAAAAGCCCGCUCGCCGGAAGACCAAGGGUUCCUGUCCAACGUUAAUCGGGGCAGGGUGAGUCGACCCCUAAGGCGAGGCCGAAAGGCGUAGUCGAUGGGAAACAGGUUAAUAUUCCUGUACUUGGUGUUACUGCGAAGGGGGGACGGAGAAGGCUAUGUUGGCCGGGCGACGGUUGUCCCGGUUUAAGCGUGUAGGCUGGUUUUCCAGGCAAAUCCGGAAAAUCAAGGCUGAGGCGUGAUGACGAGGCACUACGGUGCUGAAGCAACAAAUGCCCUGCUUCCAGGAAAAGCCUCUAAGCAUCAGGUAACAUCAAAUCGUACCCCAAACCGACACAGGUGGUCAGGUAGAGAAUACCAAGGCGCUUGAGAGAACUCGGGUGAAGGAACUAGGCAAAAUGGUGCCGUAACUUCGGGAGAAGGCACGCUGAUAUGUAGGUGAAGUCCCUUGCGGAUGGAGCUGAAAUCAGUCGAAGAUACCAGCUGGCUGCAACUGUUUAUUAAAAACACAGCACUGUGCAAACACGAAAGUGGACGUAUACGGUGUGACGCCUGCCCGGUGCCGGAAGGUUAAUUGAUGGGGUCAGCGCAAGCGAAGCUCUUGAUCGAAGCCCCGGUAAACGGCGGCCGUAACUAUAACGGUCCUAAGGUAGCGAAAUUCCUUGUCGGGUAAGUUCCGACCUGCACGAAUGGCGUAAUGAUGGCCAGGCUGUCUCCACCCGAGACUCAGUGAAAUUGAACUCGCUGUGAAGAUGCAGUGUACCCGCGGCAAGACGGAAAGACCCCGUGAACCUUUACUAUAGCUUGACACUGAACAUUGAGCCUUGAUGUGUAGGAUAGGUGGGAGGCUUUGAAGUG
rnacentral:rRNA from 1 species